rnacentral:rRNA from 1 species
AGCAGCCGCGGUAAUUCCAGCUCCAAUAGCGUAUAUUAAAGUUGUUGCAGUUAAAAAGCUCGUAGUUGAAUUUCGGGAUUAGUACGUUGGUCGUGCCUUCGGUACGUACUGGUGUUACUGAUUCCUACCUUCUGACGAACCAUCAUGUCAUUUAUUUGGUGUGGCGGGGAAUCAGGACUGUUACUUUGAAAAAAUUAGAGUGUUUAAAGCAGGCUCGCGCUUGAAUACAUUAGCAUGGAAUAAUGAAAUAGGACGUUGACCCUAUUUUGUUGGUUUCUAGGAUUGACGUAAUGAUUAAUAGGGAUAGUUGGGGGCAUUAGUAUUCAAUUGUCAGAGGUGAAAUUCUUGGAUUUAUUGAAGACUAACUACUGCGAAAGCAUUUGCCAAGGAUGUUUUCAUUAAUCAAGAACGAAAGUUAGGGGAUCGAAGACGAUCAGAUACCGUCGUAGUCUUAACCAUAAACUAUGCCGACUAAGGGAUCGGAUGAUGUUAUUUUAAUGACUCAUUCGCGCCUUACGGGAAACCAAA